UACGUAGGGGGCUAGCGUUGUCCGGAAUCAUUGGGCGUAAAGAGCGUGUAGGCGGUCCGGUAAGUCCGCUGUGAAAGUCGGGGGCUCAACCCUCGAAUGCCGGUGGAUACUGUCGGGCUAGAGUGCGGAAGAGGCGAGUGGAAUUCCUGGUGUAGCGGUGAAAUGCGCAGAUAUCAGGAGGAACACCUAUUGCGAAGGCAGCUUGCUGGGACGUAACUGACGCUGAGACGCGAAAGCGUGGGGAGCAAACAGG
rnacentral:rRNA from 1 species